rnacentral:rRNA from 1 species
UACGGAGGAUCCAAGCGUUAUCCGGAUUAUUGGUUAAAGGUGCGUAGGCGGCUUAUUAAGUCAGGUGAAGACGGUGGCUCAACCAUCGCAGUGCCUUGAUACUGAUGAGCUGAAUGAACUAGAGGUAGCGGAAUGUGACAAGUAGCGGUGAAUGCAUAGAUAUGUCACAGAACACCGAUUGCGAAGGCAGCUACUAUGGUUAUUGACGCUGAGCACGAAGCGUGGAUCAACAGG